UACGUAGGGGGCAAGCGUUGUCCGGAAUCAUUGGGCGUAAAGAGCGUGUAGGCGGUUCGGUAAGUCGGCUGUGAAAGUCCAGGGCUCAACCCUGGAAUGCCGGUGGAAACUGUCGGGCUGGAGUCCGGAAGAGGCGAGUGGAAUUCCUGGUGUAGCGGUGAAAUGCGCAGAUAUCAGGAGGAACACCAAUGGCGAAGGCAGCUCGCUGGGACGGUACUGACGCUGAGACGCGAAAGCGUGGGGAGCAAACAGG
rnacentral:rRNA from 1 species